rnacentral:rRNA from 1 species
UACAGAGGGUGCAAGCGUUAAUCGGAAUUACUGGGCGUAAAGCGUGCGCAGGCGGUUUUGUAAGCCAGAUGUGGAAUCCCCGGGCUCAACCUGGGAAUGGCAUUUGGGACUGCAAGGCUGGAGUGCGGCAGAGGAGACUGGAAUUCCUGGUGUAGCAGUGAAAUGCGUAGAUAUCAGGAGGAAUACCGAUGGCGAAGGCAGGUCUCUGGGCUGACACUGACGCUCAUGCACGAAAGGCGUGGGGAGCAAACAGG